CCAAACACCACUGCAUGCACAUACCUGCUUAUACCUGUUUCUAAAAACAAGCCCUCCGGAGCGUCCAGGACCAGGCUAGACGUGAUACAAAUUAUGAGCUGUCAGUGUGGAUCACUGCAGCGAGCCACUAUUAGACACAGCAGGCGAACCUGUGGCAAACCAGGUGAUGGGGAAGGAGAAGACGAUGAGACAAAGAACGCAGAGAAAGUGUGGACUGCUGGAAGAAGUGUGAGACCCAGACCACCAUUGACAGCAAAGAUGGACAACAAGUUCCCCUACAAGCCUGUAAACUCCUUCAUCCCUUAAGGAAGUCCUUAAAUAAAAUGGAUGAUGAUAACCUCCAACUUCAUCUCAGAUGCAAUAAACAACACAAUGCAAACUACCUUGCAUAAGAUUUUAUUAUUAUCUAGACGAGACGUUCACAGCCUCGGUGGAGUUUGACACAUUAUGGUUAUUUUCUACAGUUGAUGUCAAUCUUUAAAUUCUGGACCAAUUUCUCAGCCAACAUUUAUACACUUUUGAAAAAGAGUUUGACAUGGUUUUGAGUUUCCAAGCUGGAACAUUUUGUAUUUUGGCACACAUCUAUCUUUUUCACUCAAAGCUCUGUAUAGAUGCAUUUGGGGAAAAGUUGGUUUUUAAAGUUGGACUUAUAGGUUGUCUUGGGUGGCAUUAGAACGAGAAAAAAAACACCCUAUAAAAAAUGAAAAUAGAUAAAUAUCUGUCAUUUGUGCUAUAAUUAAGCUUUCUGUUGAACAUGAGUAAACAUACUUCUCCUGCUAAGAAUGGGGAGAUUAUUUUACCUAUUUUUUGUGGGAUUAUGCAAGCAGGACAUUUCAUCCCAUCUUGACAUCAGCUAGUUCUGGCAAGGGGAGGACCUUGCCCGGGGAGGCAUCUAUAUGAAAACCAACACUGGUUCUAAGUCUAAAUUUGGCUGCAUUCUAUCCUUAGAAAAUAUAUUGUUAGUGUCAAAAUAUUAUGGAAAAUUCCUUUUGGAUUCUGUUGCUGCUUUAAUCAAUCCCAUUUCCAGCAGAAGGACAUUUACACAAAGGGCAUUUUAAUAAUAGUUGAUCAACUGAUAAAUACUUAAUCAAUAUCCAACCACAAUGACAUACUGUCAUCAAUGAACAACUGAACAAAUUGUUCUUCACACACAGCAACAUUUUUCCAUGAAUGAAUAGUUCUGGCUGCUUUACUAAAGCAAAAGGAUAUUUUCUAAACUGUAUUAAGUUAUUCUGACUAAAUGAAAUGUGGUGAAUAUCAAAUUACUUUUGAACUUGUAACUAUAGAAUUUAAACAUUUGAAAUAUUUGUUUUUUACACUUUAAUUAUCAUACAAUGAGCAUCUUCUGUGAAUAUUGUUUGGGAUGCAAGAUAUCUUGGCUUUAACAUUUGUUUUGGUAAUUUUCAAGCAUAUCUGUAUCAUCUGAUAGGUAAAACUGGGCCGAUAUUAACACCCACUGUUUAUUUUCAUGUACUAGCUGUUUUGUUUCUUAUGCAGCUCAGGGUUUGUUAUGAUGUCCAGAGAUUAGGGAAACAUAUAUUAAAUGAUAUUGGUAAAUAUGAGAUAUCGUCUAAAAUUAUCGUCUAUUUGCCCAAAUUUUCCUGUUGGUGUAUUCGUAAAUAUUCCGAAACUGGAAUUUCUUGUCCAUGUUUUUGCUCACAUGUAUAUUCUCUUAGCAGACACCAGCAAGCUUCUUUAUUGCAGAAUCGGUAAUGUUCAUUUAUAUUACUUGUUUUCCUGCUCUUUAAUUUGACUU